AGUUAACAAAACUAGUAGCCUUCAAAGUAAAAAACAUUUUUAAUAAAUCUUA
rnacentral:tRNA from 1 species